GGUGGCUCCGCGGCGCACAGCGGCAAUUCUCACACCGCAGGGCGCUGUUUCUGUACUUUAACUUGGUUUGCGCGAAGCAAGAAGCUGCUGGUAACUCACCAAAAGCUCCCCAGUCAUCAAAGUUUACGCUAUUUGUACAUUUUAUCAGAGGUAUCAGCAGCCAUUGGUCACAAAUGUAUAACUCCUGUGUUGAUUAGUCCUCAGACCCCUCUUUGCUGGUUAUGUCUCUAGCUGGCAGAGGUUUGUGCCCUGCCGUGGGGUUAAAUGAGCUCUGUGCCUGUGACAAGUGCCCUGCACUUGGGUUAAAUGGAGCUUGGAUCCAGCAGCUGGAAAACACACCUGUGUUCCAGGUGCUUUUCUAACCUUGAUUUUUGGAAUCUGAAUUUUCAAGUCACCACCUGUGGCCACCAUGAUGUUGUGCACCUGUGUGACUUCACAAAUUGGGAAAUGUUCUCAGAUAUGAUGAUUAUUAUUUUAAUUCACAGAAGUCUAUAGUCAUAAUUUCACAUAGAAAUUAUUUCUGUAGUUUAAGGAGGGGAAUAAUUUGUCAAACUGUACCAAGACCAGUUAGAUCAGUUGGAUGUAGUUUCCAUUCAGGAAAUAUAUCUUUACUCACCUUGCUGUGCUAAAAAAUGAUCUGUUUGAAUGUUUCUGGGAUGAUUGGCGUAUUAUUUCCUGGCUUUUCAUCUUUUCCCUUGGUGAUACGUUGCCAUUUUCAGUGUGCUGACUUCAGUAAUUUGACUCUGCCCUUCUUGAGCUUGGACACUGGCUUGUCCCCCAGAGCAGGAGGGACCUGACUGCUCCAGUGCUUAUUCCUGUGGCCUCUGACAAAGGGUGCUCUGCAUACCACAAAACUGUUUAAAGGAAUACUUUAUGGAGAGGAGCAGUUCUCUCUGUUAAAAACACAAAUGUGAAAUAGAGCCUUACCUUCUAGCAAUGCCUGCCAGCAGUUCUGCAAUGGAAAAUGUGAAAAUGCCUCUAAGAAAUUUCCUGGAGCUGAGCCUGUGAUAACUCUGCUCCCCUGCCACAGGUCCUUGGCUCCUGUCCCGGUCCCA